rnacentral:rRNA from 1 species
AUUGAACGCUGGCGGAAUGCUUUACACAUGCAAGUCGAACGGCAGCACGGGUGCUUGCACCUGGUGGCGAGUGGCGAACGGGUGAGUAAUCCAUCGGAACGUACCUUAUCGUGGGGGAUAACGCAGCGAAAGCUGUGCUAAUACCGCAUACGCCCCGAGGGGGAAAGCGGGGGACCGAAAGACCUCGCGCGAUUAGAGCGGCCGAUGCCUGAUUAGCUUGUUGGUGGGGUAAAAGCCCACCAAGGCGACGAUCAGUAGCUGGUCUGAGAGGACGAUCAGCCACACUGGGACUGAGACGCGGCCCAGACUCCUACGGGAGGCAGCAGUGGGGAAUUUUGGACAAUGGGGGCAACCCUGACCCAGCAAUGCCGCGUGAGUGAAGAAGGCCUUCGGGUUGUAAAGCUCUUUUGUCAGGGAAGAAACACCGGCUCUAACACAGUCCGGGAAUGACGGUACCUGAAGAAGAAGCACCGGCUAACUACGUGCCAGCCGCCGCGGUAA